rnacentral:tRNA from 1 species
AGUAAAAUGGCUGAAGUUUAGGCAAUAAAUUGUAAAUUUAUUUAUGAAUUAGAAUUCUUUUACUA